UGGGGAAGGGUAGGGUUGGGACAAGAGUCGGGGGCCCUCUUCCCUCAUGGCUGCUCUUUCAGGUAUCUGGAGCAACCUGUAUGCAGCCAACCUCCAGGACAGCUUAUACUGGGCCUCAGAGCCCAGCCAGUUCUGGGACCACUGGGUCAGGAACCAGGCCAACCUGGACAAGGAGCAGGUCCCCCUUCUGAAGAUAGAAGAACCACCCUCAACAGCCGGCAGGAUAGCUGAGUUUUUCACCAAUCUUCUGACGUGGCGUCCACUGGCCCAGGCCACACAUAAUUUCCUGCGUGGCCUCCAUUUCCACAAAGACUACUUUCAGCAUCCUCACUUCUCCACAUGGAAAGCUACCACUCUGGAUGGGCUCCCCAACCAGCUGACACCCUCAGAGCCCCACUUGUGCCUGCUGGAUGUUGGCUACCUCCUCAAUACCAGCUGCCUGCCCCUCCUGCAGCCCACUCGGGACGUGGACCUCAUCCUGUCAUUGGACUACAACCUCCACGGAGCCUUCCAGCAGUUGCAGCUCCUGGGCCGGUUCUGCC
rnacentral:lncRNA from 1 species